rnacentral:lncRNA from 1 species
GUGACUCCACCUAUGAUGUCAGAACUGUGAAUUGUUUUUGCUGCCAAAAAUUCCUGUUCACACGACUGUGAUGCGCUGCUUGUCUGUGGAUAACCUUUCUUAGGCAACUAAAGCUUUUAAGGUAAUGAAAGCCCAUCAGCCACACUGCCAAAGAAGAGAAGAAUAAAGAAUGAUUGUCCUUCGUAAUUUUAAGAGCUCAACUACGUCAUGUACAGAGAGAGAUACUUGAACUGGCUUAGAUGCUUCCUCAUGUCUCUUGACUCCAGCCUCGUGAACAUCAGCUGA